rnacentral:rRNA from 1 species
AGUGAACGCUGGCGGUAGGCCUAACACAUGCAAGUCGAACGGCAGCACAGUAAGAGCUUGCUCUUACGGGUGGCGAGUGGCGGACGGGUGAGGAAUACAUCGGAAUCUACUUUUUCGUGGGGGAUAACGUAGGGAAACUUCCGCUAAUACCGCAUACGACCUACGGGUGAAAGCAGGGGAUCUUCGGACCUUGCGCGAUUGAAUGAGCCGAUGUCGGAUUAGCUAGUUGGCGGGGUAAAGGCCCACCAAGGCGACGAUCCGUAGCUGGUCUGAGAGGAUGAUCAGACACACUGGAACUGAGACACGGUCCAGACUCCGACGGGAGGCAGCAGUGGGGAAUAUUGGACAAUGGGCGCAAGCCUGAUCCAGCCAUACCGCGUGGGUGAAGAAGGCCUUCGGGUUGUAAAGCCCUUUUGUUGGGAAAGAAAAGCAGCAGGUUAAUACCCCGCUGUUCUGACGGUACCCAAAGAAUAAGCACCGGCUAACUUCGUG